ACAAAGAGAGAGAGAGAGAGAGAGAGAGAGAGAGAGAGAGAGAGAGAGAGAGAGAGAGAGAGAGAGAGAGAGAGAGAGAGAGAGAGAGAGAGAGAGAAGAGAGAAGAGGUGCAUGUAAAUGCGAAGGAGAUUAUCAUAUACAAAGUAGUAGUAGUGUGGAAAAACACAAAGAAGCAGGUACAUAGGGAGAUGUGUCAUGAGUCACGUGCCCCUCCCACUCGACCACGUGCCGUCUAAGCAAUAUCAUCCCCAUUCCAACUCCUCCGAUUCAGUACGUGUAUUCUAAUUUUUUUUUAUAUUCGGCUCUAAAACUUUGAUUAAUUCACUAGUACUAGUAUGCAACACACUAAUUUAAUUAAUUAGUGUCUGCUUAUAUAUACUUAGACACACGCGCACGCACGUUGUUAUAACUUCAC
rnacentral:lncRNA from 1 species